UUUUUUUUUUUUUUUUUUUUUUUGGUUUUUCGAGACAGGGUUUCUCUGUGUAGUCCUGGCUGUCCUGGAACUCGCUCUGUAGACCAGGCUGGCCUUGAACUCAGAAACCCGCCUGCCUCUGCCUCCAAGUGCUGGGAUCAAAGGCGUGCGCCACCACGCCCGGCCACAUACUUCUUGAUUGAAUAAUUAUAAUUGGUCAUUAGAUUCAGUCUUAGGAGCCUAGUCAGCAUUUCUCACUGCUUGAUCAAGUUGUGAAAAACUUCAUAUUCUUGACAGAUACUAUUACCUGAGUUCAGUUUCUUCAUUAAGCAAAGUGGUUUCAUUCCCCUGCUAAGCUAAUAUCUUCUUGAUGAUGGCCUGCAAUAAUUAAGGGAAGGGUGGUAGAAUAAAGUAGGAUAUGCCUUUCACUUUGAGCAAUGAGGAAAGAAAGCUAAAAUUCACUGGAUUAGGAAUAUACAACCAUGAAAAGUGCCCUCCUCUGUGGUGGGAAGAAGAUAAGGACCAAAUUAUGACAGAAGGGAAGAUUAGAGCCUACUUUGUUCUGUAGAGUGGGCACAUUUCCCAACUGUCGCAUCUAGAUCUAUAGAACGGUCUUACUAAGGGGUUUUAAAGAAUUUCAGUUAGAAUGGGUGCCACCUAUGAAGUACUUUAGGGAUUUGUAGAAGCAUGUGAAGAGAAUUGUUACUGAAAUUACUCAGUGUUCAUUCCCAUUGAUGGCAAAAACAUUUUAGAUCAGUUGUAGCGAUUUUGUUAAGUCAGUCAAGUAUGAAUCCUAUAAAGAAGAACCUUUCAGCAGACCUCUUUAAGGAGGCUCAUCCUUGUUCUUCUUAAGCCCGUCCCUGCCCCUUUGCUCUGCCACUGGUUUGUUCCUCUGUUAUGGACAGUGUUGAGUAUUUUACUUAAAAUACACCAUUCCAAAAGUUAUCCUUCAGCUUUAAAAUACUACUUACAAUGAAUACAAACUUGUUGAGUGGAGAAAUAAAAUGAAGUCUGCUGGAAUAAUACAGAUGACCUAGGACCUUCCUUAUUACCUGUGUUAGAAAAUGUUGGCUGACGUUCUGAAGAGUGAGUUGCCUCCUGUGGUGCCGCUGAACAGCUUCUAUCGUGUAGUCAAUAUUGUAUGUUCAGAAACAGAAUACGUAUGUAUUUAUUGAGACAAGGUCAAUAAAUAUAGUGCAGACUAGUCUCAAACUUAGGAUGUAGGUGCGAGUGAACUUUAAUUCCUGGUCUUGUGCCUCUAACUCCAGAGUUAGGGACUGCAGAUGUGUAACUGUGACAGCCUAACUGUUAGGGUGUAAGGCAUGGUAUAUUUCAAGUUAUAAAACCUGGGAAGAGUAAGAUUCAAAUGAAAUACAUGUUGAUAAUAUUUCAUUUUUUUUCUGUCCAUAUUCCACAGUUUUUUAAAUAAAUGAUUUUAAUGGAAGCAUAGUGCUUGCUUUUUCAAUUUUAGGUAGAAAAAAUAAUUUUAAAAGAGCUUUGUUACAUAAUAUUUUGUAGCUCUAAAAGUUGCAGCUUUCUUCCCAUAUUUAACAACCUAGUAUUAUAUUUACUAUAAAGAUUCUGGAAGCAACACAAGUCAGUGCAUUCUUAUUUACCUUUAUAAGGUGUGCACUGUUAUUUGUAAAUAUAACUUUUUACUGGUUUACAAAUAACCUAAAAUAGUAAUUCUUUAACUGGUAUUAGUUAUUAAAUAGAAGCUGUUUGGUAUCUUCGACUGUAUUCAUAAAUGGUGCAUAACAAGAAUAAACCUUGUUUAUCGCAUCACUAUCAAUAACUUAGAGAACCAGAUGAUUCCAUCAUUUUAAUGGUAAUAAAUGGUAGUAAAAAAUAAAUGGCACUCUAACCUCACUUUUUAAUUUUCUGUAUAAAUAUGUGAUACGGUGAUAACUGGCCUAACAUAAGGAAGGUUCUGGCUUUCAGGUUGGCCGGAAAUAGGAAAACUCCCUUUAGAAAGUAGAGUCAAGUGAAAAAUAUGUAGUAAGUUUAUAGUUUAAUUCUCAUUACCAUUUCAGUAUUCUGGACUCUAGGGUUCCUUUGUGGUAGGAAUGUGUUUAGACUUUCAGUUUGUCAUUGAAGAUUGCUAAAGGAAUCACAUCUGUAGAAGGAACGCUCAUGAAAGACUUGCUAGAUUGAAGCAAAGGGGACGUGGUAAGGGAGUCCAGGAAUGCAUGAUACUGUGUUGGGGUUAUCACAAAGCUGUAUGCUUGGGAACAGUAUCAAAGUCUUUAUUUACAAAGUUAAACAUUCAUCUUAGGUUUGAAAAAGCUGGGAUUAUUUACAGACAAAAUACUUACCAGACCUGUAGUUCCAAAUUUUAAAAGUAAAAAAAUCAAAUCUUUAUAUACUAUUGAUGAUUGAAUAUUGAAAGGUCUCACGGUUACCGAGGGGAACAGUGUAGUCCUUGUGUGACUUGGCCAGCACUGGAGCAGGAUGACAUACUACUUUUCCGGCUGCUGUGACAAAAUGCCUGACAAAAGCAACUCGCAAAACAAAACGUUUAUUUUGGCUCACAGUGUGAGGGUGUGGCUCAUCACCGAGCAUGGCAGCGGUCAGAGCUGUGCUAGCAGGCCAGUGAGGCAGAGGGAGUGAGCAUAGGCUGCCCAGAGGUUACUUCUUGCCUCACUUUCUCCUUUUGUGAUGUUUAUUCAGUUCAUGACCCCCUCGCCCAUGGUUGUUACUGCCCAUUUAGGAUGGUUUUGCCUUCUUCCAUUAAAGCUGUCUGGAAAUGCCCUCACAGGCACUCCCAGAAUCUCUCCUAAGUCAUUCCAAACCCAGUGAAGGGACACAGAAGAUAAGUGAUCACAAGUGUUUUCCAUAAGCAAUUGAAGGACUAGCGAGAUGCUUAAUUUACC
rnacentral:lncRNA from 1 species